rnacentral:ncRNA from 1 species
UGAAAGGCCAUGAUGGGCAGGAGUAAGCGGCGGUGUUUUUUCAGAGAGCCGGGGCAGGUGCAAGCCGGUAAAACAUGUCGUUGAAGGUCGGUCCGGAGCUGUUCGGCCGAAUCACAGUAAGCCGAACCGGGUUGAUACCGUUACCAGAAUCAGCGAGAGGCAUUACCCUGAAAAAGUAAUGCUGAAAAAGGGUGGUACCGCGGAAGAAACCUUCCGCCCCUUUG